GUCGAACGGAAGAUAUGCAGAGAUGAGAUUUCGGUCAAAUCAAGUGUAUCUUUAGUGGCGGACGGGUGAGUAACGCGUGGGUAACCUGCCAUAUACAGGGGGAUAACACUUAGAAAUAGGUGCUAAUACCGCAUAAGCGCACAUGGCCGCAUGGCCAGGUGUGAAAAACUCCGGUGGUAUAUGACGGACCCGCGUCUGAUUAGCUAGUUGGUGAGGUAACGGCCCACCAAGGCGACGAUCAGUAGCCGGCCUGAGAGGGUGGACGGCCACAUUGGGACUGAGACACGGCCCAAACUCCUACGGGAGGCAGCAGUGGGGGAUAUUGGACAAUGGGGGGAACCCUGAUCCAGCGACGCCGCGUGAGUGAAGAAGUAUCUCGGUAUGUAAAGCUCUAUCAGCAGGGAAGAAAGAAAUGACGGUACCUGAGUAAGAAGCCCCGGCUAACUACGUGCCAGCAGCCGCGGUAAUACGUAGGGGGCAAGCGUUAUCCGGAAUUACUGGGUGUAAAGGGAGCGUAGACGGUGAUGUAAGUCUGGAGUGAAAGGCGGGGGCCCAACCCCCGGACUGCUCUGGAAACUAUAUGACUGGAGUGCAGGAGAGGUGAGCGGAAUUCCUAGUGUAGCGGUGAAAUGCGUAGAUAUUAGGAGGAACACCAGUGGCGAAGGCGGCUCACUGGACUGUAACUGACGUUGAGGCUCGAAAGCGUGGGGAGCAAACAGGAUUAGAUACCCUGGUAGUCCACGCCGUAAACGAUGAUCACUAGGUGUGGGUGGGUAUGGACCCAUCGGUGC
rnacentral:rRNA from 1 species